AAAACCCCACCAAAAUUAGCGAAUCUUAGAUCUAAAAUUCCAGAAAAACCCCAGUCUGGUUUAUUUCUAAAUUACUUUGGUGUUUCUAUUUAUUUUAGUUCAAGACUCACAUGCAUCGAGUAAUCUUGUUGAGAGCAUUUAUUCUAGGCUAGUCUCGACCCGUUUUGAAGUUACCGGAGUCCGGUCCUUUCAUCGAUUCGCGGCUAGAGUUCAUCAUUCCCGUUGCCCGUCGGGUUAUUUCGUUUACUCAUUUCUUUAGCGUUUAAAUUAGUAGUCUUUUUCCUCAUUUGUUCCGGCUCUGUAUUUUUCUUGUUUGUUUUGUUUUGUUGUUUUUCCUUCUUUUUCUUUUUUCCAGUUGGUUGAUUAAGCUUCGUCGUUAAUUGCAUGCUCAAUUUGUUCAACUAAUAAACUGAUUUAGAUUAAUUAAAAGUUAAGUACUUAGUCAAAUCUCUGAUUUUAUUUGAAAUAUGGCAUUUGUUGUUUCAUUUCUUUUGUGGGCUGUUUUCUUUAAUGUCGGAUCUGGGCUUAGUCUUGGGCUAUUUAGGUCAUAACAUUUGGCCCAAACCUAAGCAGAUAGUCUGCUUCUAGAAGUGGCAGCUGGCACUUUUCAGUUAAAAAAGAUUCCCUCCCCUCGGUUAUUUUUCCCUGAAUUCACGCUGACAGAGUAAUCACACACUCUCUCUCCCUCAUACAAAGGACACUCUUACCUUCUAUGAAAGAGGACUCUUCCUCACAUUCUAAGGGGAGGACACAAAAAAAAAGGGGGAUUUUGCAUAUUCACUCACAGAGAUACACACACAGAAUUGACUCUGUGUUUUUUCAUCUUUUUCUACUCUCAUCUCAUACGGAUUUUGGGUCAUUUUCUGGAUUUCUGGGUUUGAGUUUGAAGCUAUUGUGUUGUUGGUUUUCUGCUGCUAUUUUUGCUUGCUGUUGCUUCUGCCUAGUUUCUUUUCAGAGAUUUAUUUUCUCCUUUACUUAUCUUUGUUGCUCUAAGCUGGACUUCGCCAAAACCAGUAUCUCAUUUUCCUGUUGCUUUUGUUCCAGUCCAGGUAUUUCUUUGAACUUUAGAUUGCUAGUUGGAUGGGAAAUGUAUCUCUGAUGGAAGACGCAUGUGGAUAAUGAAGUUAAUGGAAUUAGUUUCAUUCAGCUCUAAAGCUUUGUUGCUUUGUUUCUGCUUUUGGUAUUUUGUAUCCCUAUUGUCGUAUUCUGUUUUAAAGUUUACAUAAGAAGAAACAUAGAUUUAUUGCUUGUUCAUUUAUGGUUGUAAUCAACUAAUAUGUAAAUAACGAUGAAGCUGUCUCCACUCCUCGUCAUUUUAAAAUGCUUCGUCUGUCAAAGAUCGAGGACACUGAGAAAUAAGGACAUGAGGUGAAUUCAUAAAUAACUGUAUGUGUUAUUUGGACAUUGUUCGAAUUCCUUGGAUUUUGAACUUUGAAAUUCUGUUUGUCUUUUUUUUUGUUAUGCAGAAUUAGUAUGAAAUGAACCUGUAAUGACUAUAUUUUGGGAUUUUAGUGAUUAACGAAAUUUGUACGCGGGUGACUGUUGUUUGCAUAGAUUUCCUAAGAGUCAACUAGCUCUUUUAUCUAGCAUAUAACAGGAACAUGAAAUUAGUUUUAGAUUGGGGGACCUUGUAGUUCAUAAAUGCCAAUUGCUGAAUCCCCGUGAUUUUGAGUUGAACAGAGUUCUUAGACCAUGAAUUGUGUUUGUCUGGGUCACCAUGGCUAGCACUCUGUACCGGUGGAUUUGUUACAGAAGC
rnacentral:lncRNA from 1 species